rnacentral:rRNA from 1 species
UUUUCGACAAUGGGGGGAACCCUGAUCGAGCCAUCCCGCGUGAAGGAAGAAGGUCUUCGGAUUGUAAACUUCUUUUAUGAGGGACGAAGGACGUGACGGUACCUCAUGAAUAAGCCACGGCUAACUACGUGCCAGCAGCCGCGGUAAUACGUAGGUGGCAAGCGUUAUCCGGAUUUACUGGGUGUAAAGGGCGCGUAGGCGGGGAUGCAAGUCAGAUGUGAAAUCUAUGGGCUCAACCCAUAAACUGCAUUUGAAACUGUAUCUCUUGAGUGCUGGAGAGGUAGAUGGAAUUCCUUGUGUAGCGGUGAAAUGCGUAGAUAUAAGGAAGAACACCAGUGGCGAAGGCGAUCUACUGGACAGUAACUGACGCUGAGGCGCGAGAGCGUGGGGAGCAAA